rnacentral:rRNA from 1 species
CCUACGGGUGGCAGCAGUGAGGAAGAUUGGUCAAUGGACGCAAGUCUGAACCAGCCAUGCCGCGUGCAGGAAGACGGCUCUAUGAGUUGUAAACUGCUUUUGUACGAGGGUAAACGCAGAUACGCGUAUCUGUCUGAAAGUAGCGUACGAAUAAGGAUCGGCUAACUCCGUGCCAGCAGCCGCUGUAAUACGGAGGAUUCAAGCGUUAUCCGGAGUUCUUGGGUUUACAGGGUGCGUAGGCGGUCGGAUAAGGUAGAGGUGACAUCCCGAGGCUCACCUUCGGAAUUGCCUCUGUUACUGUUCGGCUAGCGCGUAGUUGCGGUAGGCGGAAUGUCUGUUGUAGCGGU